GGAGAGAUGGCCGAGUGGUUUAAAGCGAUGGAUUGCUAAUCCGUUGUACAUUUUUUUU
rnacentral:tRNA from 2 species